rnacentral:lncRNA from 1 species
CCUGUAGAGCCCUGUGCUCUCAAGAAAUGCCCAGCAGAAACAGGAGCCGGGAGGACUGAGCUCUUCUUACAGAGUUAGCGAUACCAUUGGUACCACGCACAGCCGUGGCUGCUGCCAGGGGACGUAAAGAUCGCUUGUAACGUAUCGCUCAGCAGCUCCAAGCCCCACUGCACAGCCGAAGUGGCUUUGCCUUGGCAUGCGAGUAAAGCAGAGGUGAGCUCUGGGUCUGAAACCUCUCUGGCCUUGGAACGUCCUGAACAAGAUCUCGGCUUCCCGGCCCGGCUUCCCCGUGUGCCUGCUCKGGGACGGCACCGGCAAACCCUUCUCUCUCCUCACCGUCUCACCAGGGUUGGGGAAACUUGAGGCUGAGUUACAAGACAAAGAACAAAAGUCCCAGGGGAACCUCGCCAGCAUAGUCAUCUCCACACAUGCAAAGGUCCCUUCUGCUUUUUUUUUUCCCCUUUGAAAUUUCAAACUCCAGUUUGUGGACAAAGUCCUGCCUAUCUGAGAAUAUAGAUCUCCGACCACUGACCAAACUCCAUUCCAAGCACAUCUCGAGGUCUGCUUUUCCCCUUGCCCACGGAUCCCUCCACUCAGUCCCCGGAUCUGCUGGGAUCACACCGAAACUUUUGCACCAGAACAGAGCUCUCAUGCUUGCGCAAAAUGGAUUUGCACACUUCAAUUUAGCAGCUUCCUUUCUAAACGUGGAAUGGAGAAGGAUCGUCCGUAAUAAUCAGUGCUGAAGUUCCCGUGGGUCUGGUUGGAAUAGAUGCUGCUUGGAGACUGCYGAGUCUGUGAGGUGGUGCGUGCGUUGGCUGGGACGCCGUAUAGGAUGGUGUGAUGGCUAAGCCAGAAGGGCUGGUGGUGCCUGAGCAGACACCGGACACGUUGCCGCUGGAGAGCUCCCUGACGUGCGCCAGGAUUCAGGGCUCCCCACGGCACAGGGAGCUGGGGGUGACGGCAGCUGAACACCAACCUCAGGCUGUUUCUCACCUGUGCUGAAGUUCUCAAAAAGUGGCCAAACUGACCGAAUCAGUCCAGGUCCCCCAGUCCAUAAAAUCCCUCUAUUGAGGAUCAAGGCGAUUUUUGGACAUGUGGAAUAGACACACUUCAAAGGAGGUAGAAGAUUCUUCUUGAAAUCGUCUCCAAAAACAACACAUGCGUUUCAGCUGAAGCUGGAAAGGCUGUUGGAGCUGGAUGUAAUCCAUGGAGCCUAAUAAAGAGCUGCUAUGCAAAAGGGCUAGGGAAAGA